AAUAAAGUGUCUGAAUAAAAAGUAUUAAACUGUAAUUUUAAAAAUGAGAUCUUCUCCUUUAUUU
rnacentral:tRNA from 1 species